rnacentral:rRNA from 1 species
GACGAACGCUGGCGGCGUGCUUAACACAUGCAAGUCGAACGGAAAGGCCCUGCUUUUGUGGGGUGCUCGAGUGGCGAACGGGUGAGUAACACGUGAGUAACCUGCCCUGGACUUUGGGAUAACUUCAGGAAACUGGGGCUAAUACCGGAUAGGAGCUCCUGCUGCAUGGGGGGGGUGGGAAAGUUUCGGCGGUUGGGGAUGGACUCGCGGCUUAUCAGCUUGUUGGUGGGGUAGUGGCUUACCAAGGCUUUGACGGGUAGCCGGCCUGAGAGGGUGACCGGCCACAUUGGGACUGAGAUACGGCCCAGACUCCUACGGGAGGCAGCAGUGGGGAAUAUUGCACAAUGGGCGGAAGCCUGAUGCAGCAACGCCGCGUGCGGGAUGACGGCCUUCGGGUUGUAAACCGCUUUCGCCUGUGACGAAGCGUGAGUGACGGUAAUGGGUAAAGAAGCACCGGCUAACUACGUG